CGUCAGGAGAGAAUGCUGCUAGAACACAGCCAUACAGCCCGGAAACAACACAGCACCACACGGCCAUACAGCCCAGAAACAGCACAGCACCACAGAUAUUCCAGCCAUGAAAGCCUUCGAUAAUGCAUUUUGUAGUUAUUGUUGGUUACAUAAACUGGAAGUAAAUAUUUAAAUAAUGGUGGGGACUAUCAGUCCUGUUGACCUUCAGCAUUUGAUGUGGGCACACAUCAGCGUUGUGGACUAGGACCCUUCAAACUUCUGCAUAAACGUGCUAAAACCUGCUUAAAGUUACACUGGUGUGUAUAUGUAUAACCCUUUUUUCUGAUCAGUAAAUGGCUUUACUUUAGAUUGCAAAAUGAUUAGUUCUGAUGGGUUUUGUGUGGCUGAGUUUGCAAUACCAGGUGGAUCCUUGUGCAAUUGAGGGAGACGAGACCUCAGGAUUCAUGGAGUAAUGCUCGUUUUUGGCAUGGUAGCAUAACCACAACAGAGGAGAGCUCGCCAGGAACCGAAAACUAAGUAGCUUUGCAGAUCCAGGAGGCAUGCAGAUGGUUGAGCUACUAGGAACGGCUAGCAAGAGUAGCUCCGAAUGGCUUCCAGCUCAGACGCUACCACAGCUGAGAGUAGACACGUGUGUUGAGCCGAGUGGACAGAUAAGCCAGGUGCAGGCUUCUGCUGACUAGAAGGGAGUGCUCAGUGACCACCGGAAGGAGGCAGUCAAGAGUAAGGAUCCUUGCUCUUAGGACUAGCAGUCAGACGCAGAAGGAAGGAAAGGUUAUAUUACUGUACUGGUAGGUAAGAACAGAUUUUACUUAUGUCAUAUACAGUUUUGUUGUCCUGCUAAACUUCCUCAGAGGCUGAGAGUUUUAUUUUGUAAAUAUCAGUUCGGCUACAGUUUUAUAACUUGCCCAGUGCUGUAAUAUACAAGCAUUAGAUGGGUAGAACAUAAUACUUAUUGGAAGAUCAACAAUAUUUGCUCACAGGCCUUGAAUGGCCUGGCUGGUGAAAUUUCCUAAUGGAACUGUUGCCUCUUUUUAACACCCGCUUUGGGUGGCAUUGCCAGCUUAAGAAUGUAGCCCAGUAUUUCAGGGCACUGGCUAUGCUGCUGGUAAAUGCAGUGGGAUGUUUAUGGGGUGUGGGGAGGUUUGGGCGAGGCAUCUGUUGAAUGUAAGGCAGAGAGCGUGUAUUGCAUGAAAUUAACAGGCCUUCCUGUUUGCAGGGGAAGAGGCUCUGCGCAAGCAUCAAAUGCCAUCGUACGAGAGCUAGGAUGUCUUUUGGAACUUCCCUUUUCAAAAAAGGUCUCAACAUGGAUUCUGAAAAGCUUUCAGUGAAAGUUAAAUGGCUACUGGGUAGCUAUAUGUAUCAGUGAUUGAUAUGAACCAGUCUUAUAGUCAAUAAAGCAUUUUAUAG